rnacentral:rRNA from 1 species
GAUGAACGCUGGCGGCGUGCCUAAUACGUGCAAGUCGAGCGAACAGAUGAGGAGCUUGCUCCUCUGACGUUAGCGGCGGACGGGUGAGUAACACGUGGAUAACCUACCUAUAAGACUGGGAUAACUUCGGGAAACCGGAGCUAAUACCGGAUAAUAUAUUGAACCGCAUGGUUCAAUAGUGAAAGACGGUUUUGCUGUCACUUAUAGAUGGAUCCGCGCCGCAUUAGCUAGUUGGUAAGGUAACGGCUUACCAAGGCGACGAUGCGUAGCCGACCUGAGAGGGUGAUCGGCCACACUGGAACUGAGACACGGUCCAGACUCCUACGGGAGGCAGCAGUAGGGAAUCUUCCGCAAUGGGCGAAAGCUUGACGGAGCAACGCCGCGUGAGUGAUGAAGGUCUUCGGAUCGUAAAACUCUGUUAUUAGGGAAGAACAAAUGUGUAAGUAACUAUGCACGUCUUGACGGUACCUAAUCAGAAAGCCACGGCUAACUACGUG